GCCCUCAUCGUCUAACGGCCAGGACACCACUCUUUCAAGGUGGAGAUCGGGGUUCGAUUCCCCGUGAGGGUA
rnacentral:tRNA from 1 species